GACGUAGGGCGCGAGCGUUGUCCGGAUUUAUUGGGCGUAAAGAGCGUGUAGGCGGCCAGGUAGGUCAGCUGUGAAAACUCGAGGCUCAACCUCGAGAUGUCGGCUGAAACCAUCUGGCUAGAGUCCGGAAGAGGAGAAUGGAAUUCCUGGUGUAGCGGUGAAAUGCGCAGAUAUCAGGAGGAACACCAAUGGCGAAGGCAGCUCGCUGGAACGGUACUGACGCUGGAGGCGCGAAAAGCGUGGGGAGCAAACAGG
rnacentral:rRNA from 1 species